GGUGAACCGGGUUAAUUCCUCCAGCGCGUUCAAGGGACACAAAAUGGCCGGCGAGGAGAGGGACGUCGGUUGGCGGGAACUGCCCCAGCAAGUCGAGCGCGCGGGCCGACCCGACUUUGAAUAAUGGCGCCAAAAUGUGAAUCUACUACAGAAUCACUUACACACGAGGUGUAAUGGACGAAAAUGUGGCAGGAUACCAAAGUUACUCGGAGGAAACUCGAGCAAUCGCAAAGCGAACAUGUAAACUCCAGAUAGACGGCACCGGACGUCAGGAUUGAACCCAGUUUACUGGAGCUGUGGGGAGGCAGCUUUGUUAGCUGUGCCACUAUGCCACCCAAUGAGAAGCAGAGAGCAAAUGGAAGAGUAAGGACCAAGACUUUCCUGAGAAAUGAUAGCCAUCGCGUGUGGAGCAGCAACCGUUUCCCCAGGAGGUGUCUGUCCUGUAUCAACCCAAAGCGUUUUGUCAGGGAUAACAUCAGGAUCUUGGACAAAGACCAUUGUCCGAAAGCCUAGUGCCUUCAGUUCUUUCGUCACUUUUUUAGUCCAUCACUCGACACUCGACUAUGUGACAAAAUGUCAGUGAAUUACUUUGGUCAGUUUAACGAUUCCAGUGGAAAAUGCCUGAUGCAAUAUUCAAGUCAAGUCAAGUCACAUUUAUUUAUAUAGCACAUUUAAAAAACAACUCUCGUUGGCCAAAGUGCUUUACAUUUGUUAUAAGAAUAGUAUAAACUAACAAACUACUGUGGCGGCUACAUAUAUACAUAUAGCCCUCGCUCAGAGGAUGUAAAGAAAGGAUAUUAUCAUGGAAAUUAUGAGUGGGGUCUAUAAACGUUGUGCACCUCAAUUAAUACUCAAGGGAUGAGACUUACUCUAAAUGUUCACCUUAGAAUUAAAAACAAAACACGGUAUGGAUAUGCCAAAUGUUGCAGCCAGAGCGUUAGGAAGUACCCCUGUAAGAUUCGAGCCUUCUCUAACAGGACAGCUGUUCCUCAAAUAAUUAGUGAGUGUGCUGCAUGAAUUAGUCCUUUGGAAAUGAAUGUCGUUCAUUCAAGAAACAUUGGGCCUGGAUUGAACCGUCAGCUCAAAGGUUUGAUUGUGUUGGAACUGCAGAGACAUCAGUCUCGGACCGGGAAGGAGAAUAAUGAAGACGUGAAAUUCCUCGAGUGCUCGAGACUGAGAAGGAAGCAAGUAAAGUGAACGUUAGUGAAGAAGAAAGAUUUGAGGUGGAAGAGUUACAGGUACGACACCCAAACUGUACUGUUCCUCUUGUUGCUUCAAUAUCACUUGUGUUGGUUUAAGCUGUGAUGGUUCAGACUGUGACUGACAUGUAUCUCUGCAAAGAUUCUGGACCCUAGGUUUGUUCACUAUCCGCUGAGGUGAUUACCUUGAUAUUUUCACUGCUUCAGCGAUAAACAAUCAAAGUAUAACAAGUAUAACCUUAUGGCUUGAAGAAAAUUACAACCUCACUGUGUAUAGAAAUCCAGUAAUUGUUCUUUCAUUCUUGAAUUUAUACUUUUAUAAUUCAACUCUUAUCACUCCCAGUGCAAUUUUGGUUAUUGAAAAUUAGCUGCAAACAUCAAAGUGAUUUUACUUUUCAAAUUUCAAGCCUUUUGAACAUUCCUUGCAAAAACAACGUGAGGGAUGAAAUUAUAGUUUGUGUUCCAUUAUAUUUGAUCAUUGUGACAUAAACGUGUAGUUUAAUGCCAGAAUCUAUUUUCCUUGCCCUUCAGUAUUUCACAACUUCAGUUUUUUAUUUGGUGGUCUAUACAAAGAAAGAUAAAUGUGUUGUAAUCUUCUAUAAAUCAGCAAUCCGGCACUUCACAAGAUAACAGCUAGAGCACCAUUGAGCUUUCAAAUAAGAAUUGAGUAUUUACUGUUUGAUUAAGACAUUAAAGCAGUUUAAUCACACAACUAGUGAUGUGGAUGGUAACGGGUAGUUUACAGAGUUUGCACUAUUUUAAUGCAUAUAAUUAAUCACAAGGGGAAUUAUUUGGUUUCUUUUGCUUUUCCCAUCUCCAUGAAUCAUUUGAACUUAAAUAGGGGGAGAUCAGUUAUUAACAAAAUCAAUAAUUUGACAAACUCUAUCCUUCUGCUCUCGCUAACAUGCGGCACUGUGAGCAGUCCAGAUUGACGUCCUCUUUUUAACCCCUUUUUCUAACUAAGUUUAUAAGUUCUCGGAGUAGAAAUAGGUCAUUUGGCCACUAUUCAAU